rnacentral:rRNA from 1 species
UGGGGAAUAUUGGACAAUGGGCGCAAGCCUGAUCCAGCAAUGCCGCGUGAGUGAUGAAGGCCUUAGGGUUGUAAAGCUCUUUCGCACGCGACGAUGAUGACGGUAGCGUGAGAAGAAGCCCCGGCUAACUUCGUGCCAGCAGCCGCGGUAAUACGAAGGGGGCUAGCGUUGUUCGGAAUUACUGGGCGUAAAGGGCGCGUAGGCGGCCUGUUUAGUCAGAAGUGAAAGCCCCGGGCUCAACCUGGGAAUAGCUUUUGAUACUGGCAGGCUUGAGUUCCGGAGAGGAUGGUGGAAUUCCCAGUGUAGAGGUGAAAUUCGUAGAUAUUGGGAAGAACACCGGUGGCGAAGGCGGCCAUCUGGACGGACACUGACGCUGAGGCGCGAAAGCGUGGGGAGCAAACAGGAUUAGAUACCCUGUAGUCCGCGCCGUAAACGAUGAAUGCUAGACGUCGGGGUGCAUGCACUUCGGUGUCGCCGCUAACGCAUUAAGCAUUCCGCCUGGGGAGUACGGCCGCAAGGUUAAAACUCAAAGGAAUUAACGGGGUCAUAGCUGUUUCCU